UACGUAGGGUGCAAGCGUUGUCCGGAAUUAUUGGGCGUAAAGAGCUCGUAGGCGGUUUGUCGCGUCUGCUGUGAAAACCUAGGGCUUAACCCUGGGCCUGCAGUGGGUACGGGCAGACUAGAGUGCGGUAGGGGAGACUGGAAUUCCUGGUGUAGCGGUGAAAUGCGCAGAUAUCAGGAGGAACACCGGCGGCGAAGGCGGGUCUCUAGUACGGUACUGACGCUGAGACGCGAAAGCGUGGGGAGCGAACAGG
rnacentral:rRNA from 1 species